rnacentral:sRNA from 1 species
CACUCCCACCCAGGCCUAAUUGUAGAAAUGAUUUCAGAUUUUUUCAGUAAGGUGCUCUGAAGUCACCAGUGUGAGUUCAGACAGCUAGUGCUGUUCUGUGAACUCUGGGGCUAUUGUCAUCUUUCUUUAGUGAGGAUCUUCUAGAAAGUCAAAGAUGCUGGCAGUGGACGCCCCUUACUCAAGUCUGCUAAUUGGGUUGAGUGCAGACAUCUGCGAGCCUAUUUUAAAAGAGACAAAUCUAUGGGCAUAUAGGAACAGCGGUACUAUUUACUGAGUGCCGUGAUCCUGCUAGGCGCUCCUCAUCGAUUCACAGGGUGUCGAAGAUUAACACCCUGAGAGAGAUUGGCAUUGAGAACUCAAGAGGCAUCUGAAGGGGAGCCCUGACAUCUGCAGGGCUCACCGCCCGCAGGGACUGGCAAGCAGACCCCUGCAGAGGUCUCCAGUAGGCAGGCACAGAUUGCCCAUGGGCACUGGAGAGAGCGAUGUGGAUCUGAGGCGCCUUGUAGAGCCAUGGUAGUUAUAACGGAAUUGGCAAGGAAUCUAAUGCUUUGCUAUGAACCUGGCAACCUAAGUUUGCCUACUUUUGAAGACCCUACAUAUGUGUGACGCAAUGUGGUGGAGGUGACAGGGGUGGGUCCUUAUGUGCCCGGCACCCAUUCAUCACAGGCCGCUGGACACGCAGGGCAGGUCACCCACAUCACCUUUGAAACUGCUCUUGGAGAAGUCUCCCUUCUCAGAGGAGCAGAACUAACUCUUCAGUAGGUUGGAAGUUAGUACAUACGAUACAUUUAGUCCUGGCCGUUCUCAGCAGGGGAGGGGUACCAUACUUAUCCCCAUUUUACAAGGGAAAACAGCAAGGACACAAAGUCAGCUGGCCAUCAAGAGCCCCAAGUCUCUGCUGCCACUAAAUCCUCUUUCUACAGUGACCUCGGCCAUGGCACAGCACACAAGCCCGGCGCUGUUUUGAGAGUGAGUUGUCUGUGCAUGGGUGGCAAUCAAAACGAGAGCUCGACACGUGAUUCAAGUCGUUUGUCUUUCUACAGGGAGGAGAAGAGCAGCCAGCUCAACAGGAGCACUCAGGACUCAGAAGCCAUCCCGGGGGAUGGAGGCUGCAGAAGGGCUUAGGACAGACUCCAUUGCCACGUCACAGGGCCCCGUGUCACAGUCGAGAAGUUUGUGGAUUCUCUGCAGGCAAGAAGGCAAACGUGAUGUCUUUCUCCAUCAGGCGUGUGAGAAGUACCAGAGCUGGGAGGCAGACAAUGCCAGCUCGCCUGACGGAGCCACGACCUGCGGGCCACCAUCUGUUUUGCUAAGGCGACAGUCUGGAGUUCCUGGUUGAACUCCAGGUCUCCUUGCUGUGGGGCUUCACCAGUUUUACUGAGUCUCGGAGUGGAUUAUAGGUCCCCCCAGAGCACCCCCAGCAGCUGGGCCGCGUUAUAAGCUGUCUUUGUCUUAUUCAGUGUCCCAUAAUGGAUUUGCUAGAACAUGCCAUCUGAAUCAGGGAAAUGCAAUUACUGACUGCCGUUGCUUCCAGUAAGUGGCCAACUCUGCCAAUCUGGCUUAAGAAUGUAGCCCGUUAAGCUCAGCCAUGGGGGCCGUUCUGACGAGGGCCUGUUCCGCAGGCGCUGGGCACACGGCAGGGCCCUUGUCCCACUUUUUAACUGCUUUUGGAGACGUUCUGAGUGGCACCAGUGAAAUUUUCCCUGGCAAAUGAAAGUGCUCCCUCCCCAGGGCAACUGGCUCUCCAGCAGGAUGGGGAGGGAGUAUUUCUACACACCCAAGCCACCUAGAGCUCCCAUUCAGCAGCCCGAGAUGCCUGGAAGUCAAGUGGGGACACGCUGAGUCAGCACUAAACAAAUCAUGGCAUUGGAGUCUUUUAGAGUUGGAAGGAGUGUGGGGAUGGUUACACCAAAGACAACGUCAAGGUCCACGACAGAGUGUCUGGGAAUUGCUGUUACCCCGGCAUGAGCCUUUUAGACGCUGGGAUCCACAGCAGGACGGAAGCUGAACUGGGGUACGAGGCACAGGCGUGAUCUCGGUGAGCAACAAAGAGUGAAAGAAGUGUGUGAUUGGGACUGGUUAGUGCCUGGCGUUUCCCAGCAUGCUUAGCUACUGUCACAUCUGCCCCAUUAAGACAGACAGACACUGCCAUGGCUUUGCAGUCCUCUGUAAACACACAGUGAAAUUUAUUUGCCGCUGUGGAGGCCUGAGGGAUGAGGCCUUCGCACAGAUUAGCGGGUGAAGGGGUGGUGAGGAGGCGGGCUGCAGGGUGUGCUCUAUCUUCCUUGGUCCAGCCAUCCUCAGCUUCGCCAUUUUAGAGCGCAGCCAAGGAGGCCGUCAUCAGAUUUAUCCCCUCGAUUUUAGACUUCCCCGUCUCCACAAUGAUGAGCUACACCAACUUCUAUGGUUUAUAGUUUACACCGUCUGUGUGACGCUGUGAUAGGAACAAUAGGCCAACUACCAUACACACUCAUUUGGGACCAGGCAUUAGCACUGGCUGAAGAGGACACCAACAAGUGUAAGACACACACCACCAGCCUCAGGAUACACGACGGAGCAAGGAGAGAACCAUGCUGCUUCAUGAGCACCAUGUGCACAAUGUCUGACAGGUGGAGGUGAACCCAGGCGCCUCUAAGCCAGUUUUUCUGGCUUCCGGGUAAUAAACGAAAUAAGGAAGGCUUUAAGCUCCACAAGGAAGGAUGGUAUCUGGUGAGGAAGAUGUAUGUGGUGUGCGGAAUGCCAGAGGCUUGGGGAACACUGAAUUGGGUUUGGGUGAGUGGCAAGAAAUAAACUCAGUCUAAGUCUGGCACCUUAGAGGGGGAAGGGGUCAGUGCUCAUUCCUCAGGGGACUCUGAAAUGGCAGCUGAAUUCAAAUGUCUGUCUUUCCCACACUUGGAUGGCAUUUGAGAAGAGUUCUGGGAUGCUGAGGGCUGCUGGAGAAAUGAAAACGGCAGGAUUGUGUGUGACAGCCCACAUAUGCAAGGACCUGUAUCCAUCAAUGGAUGGAUAAGGGCAGCUUGUAUGAAGCCUCACAGGAAGAAGAAAUCCAGUCAUUUGAGACAACACAGAUGGACCUAGAAUUGUGAUCAAUAAAAUGCCCUGAGCGCAGAAGAUAAAUGUUUUACUCAUUGCAUUGUUGUUGUGUAGACCCUGGUGAGGCUGGACUCUCAGAAGCUGAGAGGAGAACGAUUCCCGAAUCAGCACAGAAGACAGACACAGUUUUUGGUCACCAUCGUUGGUUGGGGAGCAAUGCAUACCCCACACUUGCCAACAGGACUCCCAGAGAAGAUUAUGAACAUCAGGUUGGGGACACUGUCCUUUGUGCACACGAGUCCUUUAUGCUACAGGUCUCUGGGUGAAGGAAUUAAAAGGCAACAUGAUUUUCACCAUUUCUCUUCUCGAGGCCCUGUCUGUAGGAAGGUGAUGUGAGUGUGGCCCAGAGCAGCUCCGUGUACGCCCGAAGGAAAGCCAAAGGCUCCUGGGGAGAACUGCUGACUGUUUUUACUCACUAGUGGAGGGCAGGACCCACCCUGUACCUCCAGUCUUGUUGAAACACACUUUCUAUCUCUCUCUUCAGACCCAACACUGUUGACAGGUAGGCUGAGCCUGAUGUCAGUGGCUUCCAAAAUGGUCCAACUUUGUGUCUAUGCCAGUGGUGUAGCAAAUUAAGUUGUCACCUUCAUUGCAGAGAUGGAGAUCAGAUGGAUAUGAGGGUGGGCAGGAGCGGGGGAGGGCAGGGAUGGGGACAUGCACAGUCACUGUUUCCCUUCUUACUUCCCUAGUCACACUCUAUCCCAGUGAGAGGAGAGGCAGCUCCACCUGGCUUCCCAGUCAAUGAGAACAUCUGUGUCAGCUGGAGCUGCACAACAUCUAUUGAGGCACCACUCUAGCAGCCUAUUCCACAACACGCCAGAGGUUCAAUUUCAAAGUGCCUAGAUUAGAACCACCCGACCCUCCAGGUGACAGAAACAUCGUCCUGUAAGUACAGCUGUUUGGAGCUUAAAGCCUGAAGAGGUUUUCACCGGCCCUGAUUCACAGGAUGAGGUGACUCAGACAGCCAGGCUGCUCAACAGCUUACGAGAACCCCAGGGUUGCAACCGGCUCCUUCAAGUGACAGCUUCCUUGAUAUGAACAUUAUACCCAUCACAUUCUGAAGCUCUACUCUCUGAGCUCCACUUGGUUCCCUCCCCCACCCAUCUCUGAUUCAAUUUCCACCUAGUGCCCCCCAACACCCUCUCCCCAACUCAAUUUCUCUGACUGCCCCUCCUUCCUGUUCUCUCCAUGUCAUCUUGAUACCUGUCCGUCCUUCUGUUCACCAAUGGUCCUUAAAGUGGGAGAAGUCGCUACAAGGUGGGGGGGGGGCAGAAAAGUGAGCUCACUAGAGCUCUGCCCAACCCUUUCUCCCCUCCAGCUUCUUUCCAAAGCCAUUGAUGAUCUCAUCUCCAACUCACCCUGGCACGGGUUUGUGUUUCGAGUCUUACUUGCUUGUUCUUAGCUAAAUGCACCGAAAACCUGAUCUGUGUAAGGGGAAACGAGAGAGAAGAGGUGAGGAAAGGAGAGAGAUCAAGAAAGAAAGAAAGAAAGAAAUGGAAAGAAAGAA